GUGGGAAAUCUUGCAGGUUAAACUGUAGAAUAGCCGUGGAAACUGUGUUUUUUGAGUACAUUUGAGGUAGGCGGAAUGUGGUGUGUAGCGGUGAAAUGCAUAGAUAUACCACAGAACACCGAUGCGAAGGCAGCUUACUAAACUGUCACUGACGCUGAUGCACGAAAGCGUGGGUAUCAAACAGGAUUAGAUACCCUGGUAGUCCACGCUGUAAACGAUGAUUACUGGUUGUUUGCGAUACACUGCAAGUGACUGAGCGAAAGCAUUAAGUAAUCCACCUGGGGAGUACGUCGGCAACGAUGAAACUCAAAGGAAUUGACGGGGGCCCGCACAGGCGGAGGAACAUGUGGUUUAAUUCGAUGAUACGCGAGGAACCUUACCUGGGUUUAAAUGGGGAGUGACAGGCUUGGAAACAGGCCCUUCUUCGGACACUCUUCAAGGUGCUGCAUGGUUGUCGUCAGCUCGUGCCGUGAGGUGUCGGGUUAAGUGCCAUAACGAGCGCAACCCCUCUCCGUAGUUGCCAUCAGGUGAUGCUGGGCACUCUGCGGACACUGCCGCCGUAAGGUGUGAGGAAGGUGGGGAUGACGUCAAAUCAGCACGGCCCUUACGUCCGGGGCUACACACGUGUUACAAUGGGUCAUACAGAGUGUUGUGCGUAUGCAAAUACGUACUAAUCAUUAAAAUGAUCCUCAGUUCGGAUUGGGGUCUGCAACCCGACCCCAUGAAGCUGGAUUCGCUAGUAAUCGCGCAUCAGCCAUGGCGCGGUGAAUACGUUCCCGGGCCUUGUACACACCGCCCGUCAAG
rnacentral:rRNA from 1 species